GACGAACGCUGGCGGCGUGCUUAACACAUGCAAGUCGAACGGAAAGGCCCUGCUUGCAGGGUACUCGAGUGGCGAACGGGUGAGUAACACGUGGGUGAUCUGCCCUGCACUUCGGGAUAAGCCUGGGAAACUGGGUCUAAUACCGGAAAGGAGCCAGUGUGAGUGUGAUGGUUGGAAAGUUUUUUCGGUGUAGGAUGAGCUCGCGGCCUAUCAGCUUGUUGGUGGGGUAAUGGCCUACCAAGGCGGCGACGGGUAGCCGGCCUGAGAGGGUGGACGGCCACAUUGGGACUGAGAGACGGCCCAGACUCCUACGGGAGGCAGCAGUGGGGAAUAUUGCACAAUGGGCGCAAGCCUGAUGCAGCGACGCCGCGUGGGGGAUGACGGCCUUCGGGUUGUAAACUCCUUUCGCUAGGGACGAAGCUUUUUGUGACGGUACCUAGAUAAGAAGCACCGGCUAACUACGUG
rnacentral:rRNA from 1 species